AUACGAAGGGGGCAAGCGUUGUUCGGAAUAACUGGGCGUAAAGCGCACGUAGGCGGAAUGUUAAGUUAGAGGUGAAAUCCCAGGGCUCAACCCUGGAACUGCCUUUAAUACUGGCAAUCUAGAGACCGAGAGAGGUGAGUGGAAUUCCGAGUGUAGAGGUGAAAUUCGUAGAUAUUCGGAGGAACACCAGUGGCGAAGGCGGCUCACUGGCUCGGUACUGACGCUGAGGUGCGAAAGCGUGGGGAGCAAACAGGAUUAGAAACCCUAGUAGUCC
rnacentral:rRNA from 1 species